rnacentral:tRNA from 1 species
GGGUGUGGUUCAGUGGAAGAGCAUCUACCCAGUAUGCAUGAAGGCCUGGGUUCAAUCCCCAGUACCACA